CUUUUAAAUUAAAAGCCUACCUAUUCUCCCAGAGGGCAUGCAUUCUAUGGAGACAGAGCUGAAUGUGUGCCAUCAGAAGACCAAAAUCAAGCGACAUUUUAAAAAGAAAACAGACUCUUCUGGGAAAAAUGGUGACUCCACAAAGUAAGAAGCCACCAAGACUUGUAGGACAUUCCUUCAUCUUCUCCUGGAUGGGGCAACCCAGCCAUGGAUAUAUGCCUCCAAUCAGCAUAAAUGCCCAUUGCUUGAUAAAGUCAACACACGUGUAAGAUGACAUAUUGCAGGUAUCUGUCACAUCAAGCAAGGUUUGAAGAAGAAACAACUGGAGAAUUUUACUUAUGUGGAUGAAAAAGCAAACAGAAGUUAGUCCAGCAUGGAAGUCACAUGCUUUGGGAUUGUAGCAUUGUGUUCUCCUGUAGGAGGUGAUCCAUUGUCAUUUAUCGGAAUCCAUCUUCACUCAAAAGGA
rnacentral:lncRNA from 1 species